CCGUUGUACACGCCGCCCGUCACACCAUGGGAGCGGGUUCUGCCAGAAGUAGUUAGCCUAACCGCAAGGAGGGCGAUUACCACGGCAGGGUUCGUGACUGGGGUG
rnacentral:rRNA from 1 species